CAAACACACGCCGCGUGUGUGUGUGUGUGUGGAUAUAUCUAUCUGUCUAUAUAUAUAUAUAUAUAUAUAUAUAUAUAUAUAUAUAUAGACAGACAUAUCCACACACACACUGCUGUGUGUGCUGU